GACGCAGCAAACUGUGCGUCAUCGUGUGAACUGCAGGACACAUGAACAUCGACAUUUUGAACGCAUAUCGCGGUCCAUGCUGUUAUGUACUUUAAUUAAUUUUAGAGUGCUGCUUGGACUACAUAUGGUUGAGGGUUGUAAGACUAUGCCAAAUAAGUUGCUUAUUUUUAUUAAAAUUAAUUUUCUAAUAGAAAUUUAAGCGCAUGUUAUAUUAUUGGGUAACUUUGAUGUUAUUCAUAAUAUUAAAAGUAAAAAAUUAAUAGCCUCAAUAAAUGAAUCAAAGUAUUCAAUAAAAUUUAAUAUAAAUACUGAGGAAGGUCUAGCAUAAAAUAAAUUUAUCUUGAAUUGCCUCUUAUUUAUAAAUUUUAUAAAGAAAUAUUGUUAUACAAUUGUUAAAAUGUAUGAAAAUGAAAUUUUUACGGAAGACCAUAUAUAAAAUAAUAUAUAAAUCAUACUUAAAAACAUAGUAGAAGAAAAGAAGAAAAGAUUCAUUUUAAAUUGAUGUUAUAAUUUUAGAAAAAUAUUAUAUAUAUUUUUAUACAACCUCAACUCAUAUGGGACUACCCCCUGAAUUUAAGCAUAUUAAUGAGGGGAGGAAAAGAAACUAACAAGGAUUUUCUUAGUAGCGGCGAGCGAAAAGAAAUCAGUUCAGCACUAAGUCACUUUGUUUUUAUGACAAAUGUGAGAUGCAGUGUAUGGAACGUCUAUAAUCUAGUAUGAGAAAUUAACGAUUUAAGUCCUUCUUAAAUGAGGCCAUUUACCCAUAGAGGGUGCCAGGCCCGUAUAACGUUAAUGAUUACUAGAAGAUGUUUCCAAAGAGUCGUGUUGCUUGAUAGUGCAGCACUAAGUGGGUGGUAAACUCCAUCUAAAACUAAAUAUAACCAUGAGACCGAUAGUAAACAAGUACCGUGAGGGAAAGUUGAAAAGAACUCUGAAUAGAGAGUUAAAUAGUACGUGAAACUGCUUAGAGGUUAAGCCCGAUGAACCUGAAUAUCCAUUAUGGAAAAUUCAUCAUUAUGUAUAUAAUAUUUAUAAUAUUAUAGAAAUAGUGUGCAUUUUUUCCAUAUAAGGACAUUGUAAUCUAUUAACAUAAUAAAUAUUUAUCAAAAGGUCAUUUUGCUUAUGUUUAUUCAAAUUAAUUUGCUUGCAAGUUAACACAGAAUAAAUGCUUAUGAUUUGAUAAAGUGUUGAUAGAUUAAUAUUAUAUAGAGCUUAAAUACUUUUGUAUUUUACAAUAGCGUAAUUAUCUUAUGAUUUUUAUGUUUAUUGUAUGCACUUAUAUGAUUAACAAUGCGAUAGAUUCAGGAUACCUUCGGGACCCGUCUUGAAACACGGACCAAGGAGUCUAACAUAUGUGCAAGUCAUUGGGAUUAUUUAUAUAAACCCAAAGGCGUAAUUAACUUAACUGUUUAAAUGGGAUUAGUUUUUAGUCAAUAUGUCUAUUAAUUCAAUCCCGGGGCGUUCUAUACAGUUAUGUAUAAUAGUAUUUAUAUUAUUUAUACCUCUAACUAGAGCGUACCUUGAGCAUAUAUGCUGUGACCCGAAAGAUGGUGAACUAUACUUGAUCAGGUUGAAGUCAGGGGAAACCCUGAUGGAAGACCGAAACAGUUCUGACGUGCAAAUCGAUUGUCAGAAUUGAGUAUAGGGGCGAAAGACCAAUCGAACCAUCUAGUAGUG
rnacentral:rRNA from 1 species